UUGUUGAGGCCCUGUGGUUAGAGUGUCUGCCUCGGAUGCGGGAGGUCGCUGGUUCGAACCCCAACUGAGUAUAAUAAA